UAGCCCUACGGGGCGCAGCAGUGAGGAAUAUUGGUCAAUGGGCUUACGCCUGAACCAGCCAAGUCGCGUGAGGGAGGACUGCCCUAUGGGUUGUAAACCUCUUUUGUCGGGGAGCAAUUGGCGCUACGUGUAGCGUUAUCGAGAGUACCUGAAGAAAAAGCAUCGGCUAACUCCGUGCCAGCAGCCGCGGUAAUACGGAGGAUGCGAGCGUUAUCCGGAUUUAUUGGGUUUAAAGGGUGCGCAGGCGGGAGAUCAAGUCAGCGGUAAAAUGUCGGGGCUCAACCCCGGCCGGCCGUUGAAACUGG
rnacentral:rRNA from 1 species